AACGAACGCUGGCGGCAUGCCUAACACAUGCAAGUCGAACGAGACCUUCGGGUCUAGUGGCGCACGGGUGCGUAACGCGUGGGAACCUGCCCUUAGGUUCGGAAUAACUCCCCGAAAGGGGUGCUAAUACCGGAUAAUGUCUUCGGACCAAAGAUUUAUCGCCUUUGGAUGGGCCCGCGUUUGAUUAGCUAGUUGGUAGGGUAAAAGCCUACCAAGGCGACGAUCCAUAGCUGGUCUGAGAGGAUGAUCAGCCACACUGGGACUGAGAAACGGCCCAGAAUCCUACGGGAGGCAGCAGUGGGGAAUAUUGGACAGUGGGCGGAGGCAUGAUCCAGCAAUGCCGCGUGAGUGAUGAAGGCCUUAGGGUUGUAAAGCUCUUUUAACCGGGAUGAUAAUGACAGUACCGGGAGAAUAAGCCCCGGCUAACUCCGUG
rnacentral:rRNA from 1 species